AGUAAAGUCAGCUAAUAAAGCUCUUGGGCCCAUACCCCAAAAAUGUUGGUUUAACCCCUCCUUUACUA
rnacentral:tRNA from 1 species